GAGCUUCUGGCCCAAAUUUAUUAGAGACUUAAAAAAUAAGGGGGUGGGUCAAUGGAGAAAGGAGAUUAGUGGCUUAAAAUGGAUUGGAAGGAGCUUUCAUUCUAUGACCAGCUGUGAACAAGUGGCAAUGCCACAAUAACAUGUAAUAACAAAAUUAUGUGGAUCCUUUUGGUCUUCUAGAUACUGAGGGAAGAAAUCGCAUCCCUUGCCUCACCCCAAGCUCUCCACUCCUUG
rnacentral:lncRNA from 1 species